GCAGUUGUGGCCGAGUGGUUAAGGCGUUAGACUUGAAAUCUAAUGGGGUCUCCCCGCGCAGGUUCGAACCCUGCCGACUGCG
rnacentral:tRNA from 1 species